rnacentral:rRNA from 1 species
UAACCUGCCCAAGAGAUCGGGAUAACACCUGGAAACAGAUGCUAAUACCGGAUAACAACAGAUGAUGCCUAUCAACUGUUUAAAGGAUGGUUCUGCUAUCACUCUUGGAUGGACCUGCGGUGCAUUAGCUAGUUGGUAGGGUAACGGCCUACCAAGGCGAUGAUGCAUAGCCGAGUUGAGAGACUGAUCGGCCACAUUGGGACUGAGACACGGCCCAAACUCCUACGGGAGGCAGCAGUA